ACUCAGACCCUGGACCCGCGGCGCAAGCGCUUUGGCUCCGCUGCAAAGAAAGCCCCGCCUUUUCCCCCAUUCAAGCUUGGCGGUUGACCCCCUCUUCUCAUAGGCCCCUCCCCUAAGGCUAGGAGCCUGUUCCCGGUGGGACCUUGGGACUCUCUGCGGGCUCCUCAGACCCUAGCUCAGGUGUAAUUAGGAGGGGAACAGACGGCAGCCUAGAGACAAGGGAGGGUCCGGCCAGGGUUCUAGGGCCCUGGGAGAGGGACUCACCUUCGGGAGGAAGCAAAUGAGAAGUGGGCGGGAGUGUUAGGGGAGAAGUUUCGGGGGCUGUCCAGGGGACUGCUACCUGUGGUGGAAAGAGGGGGAUCUUCAGGCCUGGCAUGGAAGACCAUCCCAUCAGGUCUCCUGAUCCCAAACGGGUUGCAAACAGUUCUUUGUCCCCUCUAGUCGGCUCAUACCCAGGUGUCCUGGCAGUGGAGAAUGAGGUCGUGGCAACGUUGGUGAAGUGCUGCUUGUCAGGAUGAGGCUUUUCCGGUUACUGGUGCGGCAACUGCGGGGAAUACAAGGCAAGGGGACCUAGUCGGCCGCCACCUAGAUCAUCUUGAAUGUGCCAAAACUUGGACCAGCAGACCAACCUGGGCUACUGCAAUUGCCCAAGUGAAAUCAAAACCUGGAUUUCCCAGGCACGGAUCCCAGUACUUCAGACCGACCAGUGUACAAUGGGCCUUGGAGGGUGAACCCCUGGGAAACUUUUAAGCAUCACUCAGAGAAAUAUUUGAACCUAGUCUCAUCCGCUAGCGUCUCUUAACAUACCAGAGUCGAAUAAAGAGGCACACUAGA